UACGAAGGGGGCUAGCGUUGCUCGGAAUCACUGGGCGUAAAGCGCACGUAGGCGGAUUGCUAAGUCAGGGGUGAAAUCCCGGGGCUCAACCUCGGAACUGCCUUUGAUACUGCGGAUCUCGAGUCCGAUAGAGGUGGGUGGAAUUCCUAGUGUAGAGGUGAAAUUCGUAGAUAUUAGGAAGAACACCGGUGGCGAAGGCGGCCCACUGGAUCGGUACUGACGCUGAGGUGCGAAAGCGUGGGGAGCAAACAGG
rnacentral:rRNA from 1 species